GAUGAACGCUGGCGGCGUGCUUAACACAUGCAAGUCGAACGGAUAGGCUCCUGCUUGCAGGGGUACUCGAGUGGCGAACGGGUGAGUAACACGUGGGUGAUCUGCCCUGCACUUCGGGAUAAGCCUGGGAAACUGGGUCUAAUACCGGAUAGGACGAUGGUUUGGAUGCCAUUGUGGAAAGUUUUUUCGGUGUGGGAUGAGCUCGCGGCCUAUCAGCUUGUUGGUGGGGUAAUGGCCUACCAAGGCGUCGACGGGUAGCCGGCCUGAGAGGGUGUACGGCCACAUUGGGACUGAGAUACGGCCCAGACUCCUACGGGAGGCAGCAGUGGGGAAUAUUGCACAAUGGGCGCAAGCCUGAUGCAGCGACGCCGCGUGGGGGAUGACGGCCUUCGGGUUGUAAACUCCUUUCGCUAGGGACGAAGCGCAAGUGACGGUACCUGGAGAAGAAGCACCGGCUAACUACGUG
rnacentral:rRNA from 1 species